UGCCAGAUCUGGGCACUCCGGUGGCCUGCUGUUCGCCACCGUCCUCGCUCAUGUUGGGUUCUACCUCCGGUAUCCUCCACCGGCGCCUCUCCUCGUCGGACUUCACCACCCGCGCCCCUGCUCUCAUUAGUGAGGUACAGAGAAUUUGACGGACGAGAUUAGGAUUGUGUGGGCGAAUUGAGAUAAUUAAGGCGAUUAAGAGCGGGAAAGAGUAAAUGAAA